rnacentral:rRNA from 1 species
UACGAAGGGGGCUAGCGUUGCUCGGAAUGACUGGGCGUAAAGAGCGUGUAGGCGGCCUGAAAGGUCAGCUGUGAAAACUCGAGGCUCAACCUCGAGACGUCGGUUGAAACCAUCUGGCUAGAGUCCGGAAGAGGAGAGUGGAAUUCCCGGUGUAGCGGUGAAAUGCGCAGAUAUCGGGAAGAACACCGGUGGCGAAGGCGGGUCUCUGGGCCGAUACUGACGCUGAGGAGCGAAAGCAUGGGUAGCGAACAGG